GAGAUGGGCUGCAGGGACGGCUGCAACAGAAGUUUGAUACCAACCGCGUGCUGAUGCUGGGUACCCGCUGUGUGACUGUCUAGGAGUGGAAUUGGCCAGGUGUGCCCUGCUUGGUGCCACCACCCGAUGGCGAGCUAAGCCCAAGAAGGAGCCUCGAACACCAUCCUCACACAGCAACAGCACUCCUGUGGUUCGGUAGGGGCUGCUGCAGCCAGUCCACUCUUUUUUUGUUUUCUGUUUUCCCCUCAUUUGCAAUCCGCUUAUGAACUCUGUUUUGCGCGCCCAUGGACAAUUAUAAUACCAAUGAACAUUCUGAAUGAACUAUGGACAAUCAAUCAAUCUACCAAUCUCUACGGCGGACUGUGAUUUAUCACCAGUGAGGUGAUUGGGUGGAGUACAGGUACUCCAGGUGUUUUCCUGGACUAGGACUGUUGCAUUUCUUUUGCUGUUGCUAUUGUGAAACUGUAAACUGAACUGUUUAUUUGUGGUCAGAACGAAUGGUUAAAACAAAGUGCACUUUUCCUCUUCAAGCUUCUCUAAUAAUUUCAAAUCAAGCUUGAACAAAGUCAUAUCUGCAGAUUGUAAAUAUUUUGGGGCUACUGUUUGAAUUCACUUUUUUUUCCCACUGUUAAUAAUAAGGCACUGGCCACUAAACCAUAAA